AUGUCACAUGGUACAUCCCCCCCGAGCCCCAGGCCAAGCCUCACUGGUUACAGAGGGGGGGACAAUUGGUGGGGCUCCUCACGGCUGACCCAGCCCGGCCCCGGCGGCUACAUGUGGCGUCUCCCUUCCGGCUCAGACUCUGCUGCCACUCACAGAAAGGAUCCUGAGGGAGGGAGGGAAGCUGGGUCAGACUCUGGCCCUGCUCUCUCCCCCUUACCUCCCAUGGCUAGCCUGGUCUUCCCACCCAGCAGGGUCUUUCUUUCCCCCCGGGGUCUGCCUGGAACUCCCCGCUCCCACCGAGCCCUGCCGCCCCAGUGCCUCCAGGCCCUCUGUCUGUGUCGCAGAACCCUGAUCACUCAAAGGAGGGGGGCCCAUUCCCUCCCCUCAAAGCCCUCAGAGGAGCCCGCCCCGGGGGGUUGGCCUCGUUCCCAGGCUCCUCAUCAGAACCUGGGCACAGGCGUGGCAGUCCCGGUGCUCCUCGCAGAGCGGGCACAGGGCCGGCGCCAGCACCAGCAGGGCCCCGCCCCCACUGCACUGGGUUCCGUCGCGGCGAAGGAGGCAGGAGCUGGUGAGCGGGCACCAGCCACAGCCCUGGUCAGCCAGGCAGCCCAGGCAGGAGGUGUAGGAGGUACAAGCCGACGACCGGAAGGGCUCCAGGAAGAAGAAGGAGAUCUCCUGGGAGGACGGAGAGGAGGACCCGUGAUCAGCGGCUGGGAGGGUGCCCGGAGUGGGGGAGCUUCAGGGGCCGGGCCGAGCACUCACACUGCCCCCGGGCACGCCAGUCCGGUCCCACAGGAGGGUGAGCUCACUGUUCCCAGACCCUGCAGAGCUGUUGAGCUGGCCCUGGAUCUCCACCGCGUACUUGUGGCCACGGCCAGGGAAGGGGAAGAGGCGGGCCGAGCCUGGGCGCUGGAGCCUCCGGAUCUCCUUAUCCUGCUGGGCGACCCAACGCCCCACUUCUUCCUGGUGAGGCGGGGAGGAAGGAAGCCAUGGGUGCCUUCAGGCACAGACCCACCAGGACCCACACCAUCCCCAGAGCCCCAAACAGCCACCACCGCCUGA
rnacentral:lncRNA from 1 species